GAGAACAGAUCAAAACAGCGCUGUCCAGCAGAACCUCACACAGGGGUGCGCGUGCUCUGUCUGUGCCACUCCCGUGCAGUAACCACUGCCCAUGAGCAGCUAUUGCACUUUUGAAAUGUGACUACGGAGCAGGCUGGAAAUAAUUCAACUUCAAUGAAUUCAAGUUCAAAUGUGGCCAGUGGCUAUUCUACUGGACAGCACAGAACUACAGCACAGGUCUCACAUGCAGAAGGGCCUUGGUGGACCAGAUGACCGACACCAUCCAAGAGCACUGGGAGCUGAAGAGCUCUCUCGAGUGGAUAAGGAGAGGAGUGAUGGUUUUCUGGGGAAGAUAGCAAAGGCAGUUCCCCCGCAGCCCAGAAAGUCACCCCUGUCAAUCCAGUGUCCAGCCGCAGUGCCGUACUGGAGAGCAGAUGACUGCACUUGAGAGGCUGAGUGGAGAUAGGAUGUGUUUCUCCCUCUUGUCCAUCUCUAGUUUGUUCUUUCACUGAGAAUAAAAACUUGAUAUGGAGGCUCAAAGAAGA
rnacentral:lncRNA from 1 species